GGCCAGACUCCUACGGGAGGCAGCAGUGGGGGAUAUUGCACAAUGGGGGGAACCCUGAUGCAACGACGCCGCGUGGGUGAAGGAGUAUUUCGGUAUGUAAAGCCCUAUCGGCAGGGAAGAAGCAAGACGGUACCUGACUAAGAAGCCCCGGCUAACUACGUGCCAGCAGCCGCGGUAAUACGUAGGGGGCAAGCGUUAUCCGGAUUUACUGGGUGUAAAGGGAGCGUAGACGGCGAAGAAAGUCUGAAGUGAAAGCCCGCGGCUCAACCGCGGAAUGGCUUUGGAAACUUUUUUGCUGGAGUACCGGAGAGGUAAGCGGAAUUCCUAGUGUAGCGGUGAAAUGCGUAGAUAUUAGGAGGAACACCAGUGGCGAAGGCGGCUUACUGGACGGUAACUGACGUUGAGGCUCGAAAGCGUGGGGAGCAAACAGGAUUAGAUACCCGAGUAC
rnacentral:rRNA from 1 species